CUGGCAGAAAGAAACACUUCUGUCUUUAACUCUAGCAGUGGGGGAACAUGGACGAGGUCAGUUGCUUUCUGUAAUAAGGAUUUUUAUGCCCCCAGGCCUGCUCUGAUGUAAAAGUCCCUAUUCCAGAAUAAAACGUGAGAGGAGGCUCAGAAGUGGCAACAGUGAGGGGACAGACCUUCCUAAUCCUCUUUCUCGCUGCGGACGGAAGGAACUGCUCUCCUUCGAAAGCCUUCCCAAGAGUGCCUGGGCUUGUAAAUGAUUUUAGCCGUGGUGCAAGUUGCUGGGCUGAUGUCUCCCCAUGGCUGAUCCCCAAAUAGCUUCAGCACAGGCAGGAGCAGGGCAGGUGUAUCACAGUUCUGACUUACAGACACCACCUCUAGGGGAGUUCAGUCACGGUGGCCCGUUCACUCUUUGGCGGCUCUGCUGAGGCUGUCAAGCAGGGGGCCAAUUAGUGCCGGUUGUGGACGUGCGUUUUGUGUGACAGGUGCUGGUCCACUAGGAACUGGUCCAAGUUUCCCCCGUCAUUUCACACAGGCCGUGAACAGCAAUCUGGUGGUAAGAAGCAUGGGUCACUAGAAAGUGACCUUGAGGUGAAAGGCUCAUAUCUCAUUAUUGGUUCCCUGAGCCAGCAACCCACUUGGUCUCUUUGAAUCAGAAAAAUGGUAUUGAACCCAUUGAACCUGCUGGCUGGUGUUCAGUCUUGUGUGUUUCCCAGCAGACACGUGGGAACUGUAAUUAAAAUCCUCCAUGACUACCA